rnacentral:rRNA from 1 species
AGAACGACUCUCGGCAACGGAUAUCUCGGCUCUCGCAUCGAUGAAGAACGUAGCGAAAUGCGAUACUUGGUGUGAAUUGCAGAAUCCCGUGAACCAUCGAGUCUUUGAACGCAAGUUGCGCCCGAGGCCAUCAGGCCGAGGGCACGUCUGCCUGGGCGUCACACG